GACGAACGCUGGCGGCGUGCUUAACACAUGCAAGUCGAACGGAAAGGCCCUGCUUUUGUGGGGUGCUCGAGUGGCGAACGGGUGAGUAACACGUGAGUAACCUGCCCUUGACUUUGGGAUAACUUCAGGAAACUGGGGCUAAUACCGGAUAGGAGCUCCUGCUGCAUGGUGGGGGUUGGAAAGUUUCGGCGGUUGGGGAUGGACUCGCGGCUUAUCAGCUUGUUGGUGGGGUAGUGGCUUACCAAGGCUUUGACGGGUAGCCGGCCUGAGAGGGUGACCGGCCACAUUGGGACUGAGAUACGGCCCAGACUCCUACGGGAGGCAGCAGUGGGGAAUAUUGCACAAUGGGCGGAAGCCUGAUGCAGCAACGCCGCGUGCGGGAUGACGGCCUUCGGGUUGUUAACCGCUUUCGCCUGUGACGAAGCGUGAGUGACGGUAAUGGGUAAAGAAGCACCGGCUAACUACGUG
rnacentral:rRNA from 1 species